UGGUUCUGGCAUCGAUGAAGAACGCAGCGAAAUGCGAUAAGUAAUGUGAAUUGCAGAAUUCAGUGAAUCAUCGAAUCUUUGAACGCACAUUGCACCCCCUGGUCCUCCGGGGAGUAUGCCUGUUCGAGCGUCAUUACACCCCUCAAGCUUUGCUUGGUAUUGGAACUCAUCGGUAGAACGAUGUUUCCGAAAAAGAGUGGCAGUUUGUAGAAUUUCAAGCGUGGUGAAAUUUUACGUUCUGAUAGUUAUGCAAACUUGCCAAAAAACUUCUACAGUUUGACCUCGAAUCAGGUAGGGAUACCCGCUGA
rnacentral:misc_RNA from 1 species